GCAGCCUUGUGUACCUGAUGAAGGGGAGUGAUUCCCCGAAACGCGUUGUAUUGCUGCAAUAAAUUACUUUGUUUCCUGAUCCUGGUGAACUGUGGUUGGUCUUUGCGCCGUGGGACGUUUAUCUCUGCCAGUACAUAAAGAGAAGGGAAAUG